rnacentral:other from 2 species
CUCACCCUGCUGUGUGCGAGAGUGAUUCUAGCGUUGAGCCACUUUGAUUUCCCUGGGAAUUGGGAUACGUAAGAGGGGAUGUAGUAGCCGCAAGGCCAGGCAGUAUACCUCGAGACAAAAUUCCCACCUGCGAUUGCAGGUUCAAACAAUAGGGCACUCACGGCAUGGCGGGGCGAAU